GACGAACGCUGGCGGCGUGCCUAAUACAUGCAAGUAGAACGCACAGUUUAUACCGUAGCUUGCUACACCAUAGACUGUGAGUUGCGAACGGGUGAGUAACGCGUAGGUAACCUGCCUGGUAGCGGGGGAUAACUAUUGGAAACGAUAGCUAAUACCGCAUAAUAUUAAUUAUUGCAUGAUAAUUAAUUGAAAGGUGCAAUUGCACCACUACCAGAUGGACCUGCGUUGUAUUAGCUAGUAGGGGAGGUAACGGCUCACCUAGGCGACGAUACAUAGCCCACCUGAGAGGGUGAUCGGCCCAGCGGAGACUGAGACACUGCCCAGACGCCUCCGGGGGGCAGCAGUAGGGGAUCUUCGGCAAUGGACGAAAGUCUGACCGAGCAACGCCGCGUGAGUGAAGAAGGUUUUCGGCUCGUAAAGCUCUGUUGUAAGAGAAGAACGGGUGUGAGAGUGGAAAGUUCACACUGUGACGGUAUCUUACCAGAAAGAGACGGCUAACUACGUG
rnacentral:rRNA from 1 species